GGUCAUUUUACUGUCCGAUGCCCGCAAGCUUUUUGUGAGAGAUGUAAGAAGUGAGGCCACAUGUCCAUUGUGUGCAAUGAGUUCUUCCCGUGGGAUGACACUCCUGUGAUGUGUGCAUUCCAAUCUAAGGGGCAGGGUUUCUUCUACAUCCCUGAUUUCAGUGUGGACAGAUAGGCUAGAGAAAAUGUUUUCAACAUUGUGGUCACUAUAACUGAUGGCUCUGCUCCAACCAAAGAUAUUGAGCAUGAGUUGAGCGUUUAUGUUGGACAAGGAUGGCGCUGUUCCGCCAGAUUCUUUGCUCCACAAAAAUUUGUGAUGAGAAUGCCGAACCCUAGGGAAGUUGACAGAGCUCUUUUUGUUGAAAAUAUUAAGCUGAAGCAGUGUGGUGUCAGUGUCAAGUUCUCUCCCUGGUCUGAGGAUAUUGACUCUGAGGGUUUGCUGGAGAUCGCCUGGGUUAGGAUUGGAAAAAUUCCACCUAAUAAGAGAUGUGAUAAAACAGUAGCUUAUGUGGGAGGCCUAGUUGGGAUCACUCUGGAAGUUGAUAUGUCAACUAUCAACCGCCCCUCGUCUGUUAGGGCUAAGAUUGGAUGUCGCUCGAUUGCCCAACUCCCUGCCACUGCUGAAGGAGUGCUUGCAGGACGUUUUUAUAGAUUCACUUAUGAGUUUGAGGAGGUUUUGAUCAAAAAUCAUGUUGAGGAAGAAACUGUGGAUCCCAUUCCUGAUGAAAGAACCAAACCAGACCAAACCCCUAAAAGGAAGCGUGCUGAACACGAUAAAGGAGAAACUCACACUGAAUCUGCUGGACGUAGCGCCCCUGGGGGAUCUUAUCGCGGUGGCAAGGCCUGUCGCCUGCUAUGCGAUGAAAAAGAUGGAUCUAUCUCCUCUGAGAGUGAUACAGACAACUCAUUGCUUAUUGAAACCAUGCAGAGAGAGAUUGAUGAAAAAAUGCAUGAGAGGUGUGGGGGCUCAUCGAACUAG
rnacentral:rRNA from 1 species